GUUAGACCCGGACCUGCGCUUGGCUUGCCCAGGGCUUUCCGGAUGAGCCCGCGCUCUUCUGUGCCUCGCUGCCCCAAUUGGAGACCUUAGCUCGCCGAGUCCUAGCUUGGUCGGUUUCAUCUUCUAAUCGCGUGGUGAAUUCCAUUCUUCAUUCACUGAGGCCCCACAGGCUCCUCCUUCCUCUGGAAACCUCCCAUCAAGACCUUUCCCCCUUACGUGGGAAACUCUCAACCUGGCCUCCAUCCCCCAGAAGUAAGACUGCUACUCACUUGACCAAUAUAUACCACAGCUACCUGCUGCUGCAAAAAGAUAUGCAGAGAGAUUUCCUACAGCCUGAGGGAGUGGAACAGCCUUGGGAAAGAAGCCAGAGAAAUGAGCCCCCCAGCCCUGAGUGUGUAUGGGGUGGACUGCGGACUCAGAAAAUCAAAGCCCCUCUGUGGUUUGUGUCAACAAGCAAUGAGUGCGAGUUUCUGUUGCUCCACAUCAUCAGCAG